GAUGCCAAUUGGCAUAAACCCGUAGAUCCGAUCUUGUGUUGAAACGCACUGCACAAGCUCGCUUCUAUGGGUCUGUGUCAGUAUGGUGAUC
rnacentral:ncRNA from 4 species